CGUGUAGCCCGGUGUGCGAGAUCACUUUAAUCAGAGCGGUGGGUGCGCCCCGGGCGUGGCGUGCAUGGAGCAAUGCCACGACUGAAUCCAGGAGGUCCCGAUGUUUACUCAGAUGCAGUCGCCGAGGCUCGUUAAUAGCUCGUUUGAUUAGGUACAAGCUUGCAACAGAAUCUGAUGCAAUAGUGAGCUUCUUAUUUGUAAAUUCUUCACCCUCGCCACCAAAUUCUGCGAGCGCAGCACGAAUUGCUGCCAGUUCAGCUCUCGUAAUAGUGUUUGUGCACCCAGCGCCAUUUGGAUUCACGUAGACAACGCGAGAAUCGCUGAACCAGGCGCAGGCGCCGGCAACCUGGACUUCUUUGCCAUUGUUAGUUUUGAUUUUGCUUACCGAACCAUCUGUCCAGACAGUGCCAUUCACGUCGUGGGCCAGAGCAUGGUGGGUCUGGAAUCGCGCGUUAGGAAAGCGUCGUGCUUCGUCAGCCAUGGCGUGUAUCGUCUUUGGGUUGGCGUGCUGGUAUUUGGCUUGCUUCAGAAGUGAGGUUGGGAGAGCCGGGCAGGUUGGGGCCGGAGCCGUGUGUGUCCACGUGCGGGGGUCGCUGAUGUGCGUGGGUGCGUUCGCCCCCCGUUUCAGUGUGUCCACGAGCCGUUUCAGGCGGGGGGCAAAGCACUGGAGUCCGGCGGGGUUCCCAACAAUGACCAGUCGGAGCCCCUUCUGGCGUUCAGCCUGGGUGUUGGUGCCAAGUCCUGUGUCAAGGCCCGCGGUGCCCGCGGACCAGUUGGCCAGCUCGUGGCAAAGUGGGUGUUGAAGCCACUGCGUGUGGGGGAAAGUGGCCGCUUUGGGAAGCGUCAAUACAGUAAGGGUUGGUUCCUGUGAGUCACGCAUGGCCUCGGCGCAUGCGAGGGCCCACAUGAGCGCCUUCCGUGCAUCGUGGGGGGUAGAGGGGGGGUGGGCAUAUUGCAAGCCGGUCCAUGCGGUCUGGUAGGCAUCGUGCAGUGCGCCAAAGGCCCCAUCAGCAGGGUCUCGUGUCCAGUAUUCGUGGGCUGGAGUGGAGGAGUUUAGUGGGGACGCAAACAUUUCCCGAAUGUGUACUGCUUGUGUGACCCGCAGGCAUUGGACGAUGGCAGCUACUGUGCCUGCCGGCAGCGACACCUGGUGCAUUGGCAUGGCCUUGCGGUCCUGCUGCGCCGGGUCAUAGCGGUAGCGCAUGAUGAGGGCAGCGACCGCUUCCUCGAAGGCGUUGGGCCGCUGGUUGCUGGUGUGCCUGAAGCGCUCCCACAGGGUAAGGAGGCGGGGGUAGGUGAUGGUGCCCAGCCAGCGGCCACUGGGUUCAUGGAUGUGCGCCUCAGCUGGGUCACGGCGGGUGCCACCAGUGGUGGUAAUUGUGUAUGCUCCGGGGGCCACGAUGUCCUUGUAGGGGUUGCACGGGCUUGUGGUGAUGGUGGUGGUCGUGCGGAUGUCACGCGCGCGGGAUGCGGUAUCGAGGGGCUCGGCGUCGUGGCGGCCUUGGCGCUGUCUGGCGGUAAGGUUCCGAUCAGGUGCGGGGCGCACUGUUCGGGGCCGCGGGACUUGGUUGGUACCGUUUGCUAGCGGGGUUUUGCACUCCUCCAGUAGCUCCUCCCAUUGUGGACUGUGUUUAAGGUCCCGUUCACGGUCCGUGCUCGGCGCCCACGUGACAUGUCGCAGGAGUUUGGUCGUCCAGGACGAGAAUAGGGGGGCCCCAGUGGGCUGCGGUGCUGCCGGCUCUGCAGCUUGGGCAGGCUCUUCAGGUGCGAUUGCGUGGGCUUGGGUUUCAGCCGGAGGCUCAGCCACGGUCUGUGCAGGAUUUGGGUCUGGGCGUGCCGCAAGUGGGUGCUUGUAGCACCUGGCGUUCUGGAUAGUUGCGUAGCCCAUGCGAACAAAAGCAGAGACAAUGCCGACAGGGCAAAUGGACGGCUUCCACUGCACCAUCCAGUAUUUCUCACGUGUCCCAGAGGUGUCCGCUCUGGCCUUGCGCUUCCGUGUCAGUUCUUUGUCCGUGACAGUUUGUAUAUUUUCGCUGUGCAGGACCUGUGCCAGUUCCUGUCCGUCAUUGUCCAGGUCGUAGGUGAGUUGAGUGUCACCGUUAGUGCGGUUGUCGGUGGGCCGUGGGACUAGAUCGUGUGUGAUCCUGGCGCGGGCCAGUCGCCAGCUGGGACGGGCCCCGUGACCUCCCGCAGCUUGCACUGCCGGGGCGGUCAGGGGCGGCGCUGCGCUGUCGACGUCCAUGGGGUCGUUGUGCGCGGCCGCCUGGUUGGUUUCCAUAGGCAAUCCUGUGUUGUUCAGGUACUCGCUUAUGGCGUUGGGUUCGGG
rnacentral:lncRNA from 1 species